rnacentral:rRNA from 1 species
GAGUUUGAUCAUGGCUCAGGACGAACGCUGGCGGCGUGCUUAACACAUGCAAGUCGAACGGUGAAGCGCCUUCCUUUUUGGUGGGUGUGGAUGAGUGGCGAACGGGUGAGUAACACGUGAGUAACCUGCCCCCUUCUUCUGGAUAACCGCAUGAAAGUGUGGCUAAUACGGGAUAUUCUGUGCCUGCUGCAUGGUGGGUGUGGGAAAGAUUGCGCUUUUUUGGUGUUUUUGGUGGGGGAUGGGCUCGCGGCCUAUCAGCUUGUUGGUGGGGUGAUGGCCUACCAAGGCGGUGACGGGUAGCCGGCCUGAGAGGGUGGACGGUCACACUGGGACUGAGACACGGCCCAGACUCCUACGGGAGGCAGCAGUGGGGAAUAUUGCACAAUGGGCGCAAGCCUGAUGCAGCGACGCCGCGUGAGGGAUGGAGGCCUUCGGGUUGUGAACCUCUUUCGCCAGUGAAGCAGGCCUGCUCCUUUUUUGUGGGUGGGUUGACGGUAGCUGGAUAAGAAGCGCCGGCUAACUACGUGCCAGCAGCCGCGGUAAUACGUAGGGCGCGAGCGUUGUCCGGAAUUAUUGGGCGUAAAGAGCUCGUAGGCGGCUGGUCGCGUCUGUCGUGAAAUCCUCUGGCUUAACUGGGGGCUUGCGGUGGGUACGGGCCGGCUUGAGUGCGGUAGGGGAGACUGGAACUCCUGGUGUAGCGGUGGAAUGCGCAGAUAUCAGGAAGAACACCGGUGGCGAAGGCGGGUCUCUGGGCCGUUACUGACGCUGAGGAGCGAAAGCGUGGGGAGCGAACAGGAUUAGAUACCCUGGUAGUCCACGCCGUAAACGUUGGGCACUAGGUGUGGGGGGCCUUUUCCGGGUUUUCCGCGCCGUAGCUAACGCAUUAAGUGCCCCGCCUGGGGAGUACGGCCGCAAGGCUAAAACUCAAAGGAAUUGACGGGGGCCCGCACAAGCGGCGGAGCAUGCGGAUUAAUUCGAUGCAACGCGAAGAACCUUACCAAGGCUUGACAUGUGCCGGUCGGCUCCGGAGACGGGGUUUCCUCCUUGUGGGGCCGGUUCACAGGUGGUGCAUGGUUGUCGUCAGCUCGUGUCGUGAGAUGUUGGGUUAAGUCCCGCAACGAGCGCAACCCUUGUCUCGUGUUGCCAGCACGUUGUGGUGGGGACUCGCGGGAGACUGCCGGGGUCAACUCGGAGGAAGGUGGGGAUGACGUCAAAUCAUCAUGCCCCUUAUGUCUUGGGCUUCACGCAUGCUACAAUGGCCGGUACAGAGGGCUGCGAUACCGUGAGGUGGAGCGAAUCCCUUAAAGCCGGUCUCAGUUCGGAUCGGUGUCUGCAACUCGACACCGUGAAGUUGGAGUCGCUAGUAAUCGCAGAUCAGCAACGCUGCGGUGAAUACGUUCUCGGGCCUUGCACACACCGCCCGUC